rnacentral:rRNA from 1 species
UUAAGCGACUAAGCGUACACGGUGGAUGCCCUGGCAGUCAGAGGCGAUGAAGGACGUGCUAAUCUGCGAUAAGCGUCGGUGAGGUGAUAUGAACCGUUAUAACCGGCGAUUUCCGAAUGGGGAAACCCAGUGUGUUUCGACACACUAUCAUUAACUGAAUCCAUAGGUUAAUGAGGCGAACCGGGGGAACUGAAACAUCUAAGUACCCCGAGGAAAAGAAAUCAACCGAGAUUCCCCCAGUAGCGGCGAGCGAACGGGGAGGAGCCCAGAGCCUGAAUCAGUGUGUGUGUUAGUGGAAGCGUCUGGAAAGGCGCGCGAUACAGGGUGACAGCCCCGUACACAAAAAUGCACAUAUUGUGAGCUCGAUGAGUAGGGCGGGACACGUGGUAUCCUGUCUGAAUAUGGGGGGACCAUCCUCCAAGGCUAAAUACUCCUGACUGACCGAUAGUGAACCAGUACCGUGAGGGAAAGGCGAAAAGAACCCCGGCGAGGGGAGUGAAAAAGAACCUGAAACCGUGUACGUACAAGCAGUGGGAGCCUCUUAAUGGGGUGACUGCGUACCUUUUGUAUAAUGGGUCAGCGACUUAUAUUCUGUAGCAAGGUUAACCGAAUAGGGGAGCCGAAGGGAAACCGAGUCUUAACUGGGCGUUAAGUUGCAGGGUAUAGACCCGAAACCCGGUGAUCUAGCCAUGGGCAGGUUGAAGGUUGGGUAACACUAACUGGAGGACCGAACCGACUAAUGUUGAAAAAUUAGCGGAUGACUUGUGGCUGGGGGUGAAAGGCCAAUCAAACCGGGAGAUAGCUGGUUCUCCCCGAAAGCUAUUUAGGUAGCGCCUCGUGAAUUCAUCUCCGGGGGUAGAGCACUGUUUCGGCAAGGGGGUCAUCCCGACUUACCAACCCGAUGCAAACUGCGAAUACCGGAGAAUGUUAUCACGGGAGACACACGGCGGGUGCUAACGUCCGUCGUGAAGAGGGAAACAACCCAGACCGCCAGCUAAGGUCCCAAAGUCAUGGUUAAGUGGGAAACGAUGUGGGAAGGCCCAGACAGCCAGGAUGUUGGCUUAGAAGCAGCCAUCAUUUAAAGAAAGCGUAAUAGCUCACUGGUCGAGUCGGCCUGCGCGGAAGAUGUAACGGGGCUAAACCAUGCACCGAAGCUGCGGCAGCGACACUAUGUGUUGUUGGGUAGGGGAGCGUUCUGUAAGCCUGUGAAGGUGGCCUGUGAGGGGUGCUGGAGGUAUCAGAAGUGCGAAUGCUGACAUAAGUAACGAUAAAGCGGGUGAAAAGCCCGCUCGCCGGAAGACCAAGGGUUCCUGUCCAACGUUAAUCGGGGCAGGGUGAGUCGACCCCUAAGGCGAGGCCGAAAGGCGUAGUCGAUGGGAAACAGGUUAAUAUUCCUGUACUUGGUGUUACUGCGAAGGGGGGACGGAGAAGGCUAUGUUGGCCGGGCGACGGUUGUCCCGGUUUAAGCGUGUAGGCUGGUUUUCCAGGCAAAUCCGGAAAACCAAGGCUGAGGCGUGAUGACGAGGCACUACGGUGCUGAAGUGACAAAUGCCCUGCUUCCAGGAAAAGCCUCUAAGCAUCAGGUAACAUCAAAUCGUACCCCAAACCGACACAGGUGGUCAGGUAGAGAAUACCAAGGCGCUUGAGAGAACUCGGGUGAAGGAACUAGGCAAAAUGGUGCCGUAACUUCGGGAGAAGGCACGCUGAUAUGUAGGUGAAGCGACUUGCUCGUGGAGCUGAAAUCAGUCGAAGAUACCAGCUGGCUGCAACUGUUUAUUAAAAACACAGCACUGUGCAAACACGAAAGUGGACGUAUACGGUGUGACGCCUGCCCGGUGCCGGAAGGUUAAUUGAUGGGGUUAGCGGUAACGCGAAGCUCUUGAUCGAAGCCCCGGUAAACGGCGGCCGUAACUAUAACGGUCCUAAGGUAGCGAAAUUCCUUGUCGGGUAAGUUCCGACCUGCACGAAUGGCGUAAUGAUGGCCAGGCUGUCUCCACCCGAGACUCAGUGAAAUUGAACUCGCUGUGAAGAUGCAGUGUACCCGCGGCAAGACGGAAAGACCCCGUGAACCUUUACUAUAGCUUGACACUGAACAUUGAGCCUUGAUGUGUAGGAUAGGUGGGAGGCUUUGAAGUGUGGACGCCAGUCUGCAUGGAGCCGACCUUGAAAUACCACCCUUUAAUGUUUGAUGUUCUAACGUUGGCCCGUAAUCCGGGUUGCGGACAGUGUCUGGUGGGUAGUUUGACUGGGGCGGUCUCCUCCUAAAGAGUAACGGAGGAGCACGAAGGUUGGCUAAUCCUGGUCGGACAUCAGGAGGUUAGUGCAAUGGCAUAAGCCAGCUUGACUGCGAGCGUGACGGCGCGAGCAGGUGCGAAAGCAGGUCAUAGUGAUCCGGUGGUUCUGAAUGGAAGGGCCAUCGCUCAACGGAUAAAAGGUACUCCGGGGAUAACAGGCUGAUACCGCCCAAGAGUUCAUAUCGACGGCGGUGUUUGGCACCUCGAUGUCGGCUCAUCACAUCCUGGGGCUGAAGUAGGUCCCAAGGGUAUGGCUGUUCGCCAUUUAAAGUGGUACGCGAGCUGGGUUUAGAACGUCGUGAGACAGUUCGGUCCCUAUCUGCCGUGGGCGCUGGAGAACUGAGGGGGGCUGCUCCUAGUACGAGAGGACCGGAGUGGACGCAUCACUGGUGUUCGGGUUGUCAUGCCAAUGGCACUGCCCGGUAGCUAAAUGCGGAAGAGAUAAGUGCUGAAAGCAUCUAAGCACGAAACUUGCCCCGAGAUGAGUUCUCCCUGAGACUUAGAGUCUCCUGAAGGAACGUUGAAGACGACGACGUUGAUAGGCCGGGUGUGUAAGCGCAGCGAUGCGUUGAGCUAACCGGUACUAAUGAACCGUGAGGCUUAACCU